ensembl:lncRNA
AUGCUCAGACAGGGUUUCCCUCUCAAACACACAGGGGUAGUCCUCCUCCUCUUUUAUCCAUUUCUCUUCUGUCUCCUCCUCUUCACACUCCCUCUGUCCUCGGCUCUUCUCCGCCUCCAGGAGGAGUUGAGGGGUUUCACACACCGACAGGUCGAACAGGCUGCCGUCGGAGUGGACCAGCCUGCAGAGAGAGACAGUCUUCAGGUCGGUCAGCUGCAGGAAUGGCUUGUGGAAGUAAUGCAGGUGAACGAUGCACACCUGAGGAACAUGGUCAGGAGUCAACUUCCACAUGACAUGUGGCGCACACUGUCUCUGUGGAAAUGUGAGAGUACCAAGAGGAACGCAGCAGGGAUGAAGAUCCUGGUGAAGAGAACGGGAACCGAGAACUUCUCCAAACCAAUGUCCUCCAACCUGGACAGGAGCAGCACCUCCUCGUACGACACCUCCUCCUUCUCCUGCACGUCCUCAUCGGCACUCGGCUGCUCCUCUAACGGACGUAAAACAAGAGGGAGACGGACCAGGUAA